GUGAAUCAUCGAAUUUUUGAACGCAUAUUGCACUCUCUGGUAUUCCGGAGAGUAUGCCUGUUUGAGGGUAAUUAAAAAGGAUCUUUCACCAAUUUUUUUUGGUUAUAGGAAAUGAGGUCUCCGCGUUUAUAGCGGUAGCUUGACAUAAAUGGUAGUCUCAUUUUAGUCGAGUCGCGUACUAAUUUUAUUUCGCGAAAUCUGUAUUAUGUGACUAUCAAG
rnacentral:misc_RNA from 1 species